GGGCGCGUAGCUCAGCGGGAGAGCACAACGUUGACAUCGUAGGGGUCGCUGGUUCAAUCCCAGCCGCGCCCACCA
rnacentral:tRNA from 1 species